GCUGCCCAUAUUUUAUAAACCAGAACUUUGCUGUGAGAACUGAAAUGCUUCAGACAAGCAGUGGAAUCAAGAUGCAGUCUCAGACUCAGGUCUUCAUAUUCCUGCUCCUCUGGAUGUCUGGUGCUGAGGGGAACAUUGUGAUGACCCAGUCUCCCGAAUUCAUCUCCACAUCUAUAGGAGACAGGAUCACCCUAAGCUGCAAGUCCAGUCAGAGUGUGAAUAAGUAUAUAGCUUGGUACCAACAGAAAUCUGGGCAGCCCCCUAAACCACUAAUCUACUAUGUAUCCACUCGGCACACUGGGGUCCCUGAUCGCUUCACAGGGAGUGGAUCUGGGACAGAUUUCACUCUCAGCAUCAGCAAUGUGCAGGCUGAAGACCUGGCAAUUUAUUACUGUCAGCACUAUGACAAUACUCCUCCCACAGUGCUUCAGCCUCCAACACAAACCUCCUUGAGAGUUUCACCAGCUGCCUGUACCACAAACACCCCUGGGCCUGCACACUUCCCCCUUCUGCCUGAGAUCUGCUAUGCAUGA